GCCGGCGUAGCUCAGUGGUAGAGCAGCUGAUUCGUAAUCAGCUGGUCGGAGGUUCAAUCCCUCUCGCCGGCUCCA
rnacentral:tRNA from 1 species